AACGAACGCUGGCGGCAGGCCUAACACAUGCAAGUCGAGCGGGGGAGCAAUCCCUAGCGGCGGACGGGUUAGUAACGCGUGGGAACAUACCCUUUGGUACGGAAUAGCCUCGGGAAACUGAGAGUAAUACCGUAUGUGCCCUUCGGGGGAAAGAUUUAUCGCCAAAGGAUUGGCCCGCGUUGGAUUAGGUAGUUGGUGGGGUAAUGGCCUACCAAGCCUACGAUCCAUAGCUGGUUUGAGAGGAUGAUCAGCAACACUGGGACUGAGACACGGCCCAGACUCCUACGGGAGGCAGCAGUGGGAAUCUUAGACAAUGGGCGCAAGCCUGAUCUAGCCAUGCCGCGUGAGCGAUGAAGGCCUUAGGGUUGUAAAGCUCUUUCAGAUGGGAAGAUAAUGACGGUACCAUCAGAAGAAGCCCCGGCUAACUCCGUGCCAGCAGCCGCGGUAAAGUGACUACUG
rnacentral:rRNA from 1 species